rnacentral:piRNA from 1 species
UCAAAGGUGUCACUGGGCAUAUUUGG